rnacentral:rRNA from 1 species
CGCGGCCUAUCAGCUUGUUGGUGAGGUAACGGCUCACCAAGGCAUCGACGGGUAGCUGGUCUGAGAGGACGAUCAGCCACACUGGGACUGAGACACGGCCCAGACUCCUACGGGAGGCAGCAGUAGGGAAUCUUGCGCAAUGGGCGAAAGCCUGACGCAGCAACGCCGCGUGGGGGAUGAAUGCCUUCGGGUUGUAAACCCCUUUCAGCAGGGACGAAAAUGACGGUACCUGCAGAAGAAGCUCCGGCCAACUACGUGCCAGCAGCCGCGGUAAUACGUAGGGAGCGAGCGUUGUCCGGAAUUAUUGGGCGUAAAGAGCUCGUAGGCGGUUCAGUAAGUCGGGUGUGAAAACUCAAGGCUCAACCUUGAGACGCCACUCGAUACUGCUGUGACUUGAGUCCGGUAGAGGAGUGUGGGAUUCCUGGUGUAGCGGUGAAAUGCGCAGAUAUCAGGAGGAACACCAGCGGCGAAGGCGGCACUCUGGGCCGGUACUGACGCUGAGGAGCGAAAGCAUGGGGAGCAAACAGGAUUAGAUACCCUGGUAGUCCACGCCGUAAACGUUGGGCACUAGGUGUGGGUCUCAACCAACGAGAUCCGCGCCGUCGCUAACGCAUUAAGUGCCCCGCCUGGGGAGUACGG